UAGAUAAAAGAUAAAAGUCUCAUACUAAUAGUUGACCAUUACCAAAUAGUACCUAUUUGACAUUAUAAUUUAUAAUAUAAUAUUACAUUUUACUCUGUCAAUAUGAAUAAUUAUGAUUACAAUGCUUUUAGCGCUAUGCUUUUCGCCACUCGCGUAUCGUUAACCAAUUUUCUAUCUGAGUAUCAAACCCGCUUUCACAAACCGAACAAUUUCAGUCGGGCAAUUUUAUCAAAACAUCCAUAUUAUUUUGAUUUUUUUCUGCAUUUUCGUCGUCUGGUUUCAAUGUUUCAUUCUGAAAGUAUUUAUUAAUUUACGUCGCUAUUUUAAAAUUAUGGAUUUUGGUAAAUGAAGUUGCUAUUACUGCUAUACUGUGACAUCGAUUAACAUCUUCAUUCAUUUCUACAUAAUAUUUUUGUUACAGGACUACAUUAAAAAAUCAGAAUUCUACAAGUUUAAGCAGAACAUGCUGAUGUACAGACUUACAGCCAAUUUGAUUAACAUCGACAAAGCUGCAAGCGAAUUAACCGACACGAACUACUCCAGCUAAAGUGUCCAAAAACAAACAUCAUAGGUUGCUGAAGAGCAUAGACGUUGAUGAUGUUUUGUCUGCUCUACACGGUCAAAAAUAAACAUGUUUUAACUGAUACCAUCAUUAUUGUGUACAUAUUAUAUUAAUGUUAUAUUUUUAUAUCUACAUUGUAAAGCAAAAAAAUAUUGAAAUAUGUUUUAUGUAUAAGGAUCUUCAUAAACUGUUUUAUGAAAUAGACAGUAGUAACUGUGUAUGUGUAUUAGUUAUUGUUAUUUGGUCAAAUACAGAGAUUGUCAGGAUUUUAAA